UAACCUAGAUAUAAAAUAGCAACAGCCUUUUUCGGCUUCGUCUUUGAAGCUUGAGUUGCCGGAGGCAUAACUCAGAUAUAGCUCCCACAAAACCCUAGUCUCCCACCACUUCUUCAUUUCGCGUAAGCCAUGUCAGGAGAAAGGUAGGGAGCCCAAGGAGGAAAUACUACCCUUGGACCUGCUGUUCGAGAGGGCGAGUAUGUUUUCGGAGUGGCUCACAUUUUUGCUUCAUUUAACGACACAUUUAUACAUGUGACUGAUUUGUCUGGAAGGGAAACAAUGUUCGCAUCACUG